rnacentral:miRNA from 1 species
UGACAGAGUUAGUGAGGGAGUGACUAGUGACAGAGAGAGGGAUGGGGUGACUAGUGACAGUCACCCCCCCUCACUCUGUCACCAGUCAUCCCCUCUCUCUGUCACUAGUCACCCCUUCCCUCCCUCACUUU